rnacentral:sRNA from 1 species
UUUUAGUUCUGCACCCGCGUUAGGGAUUGCAGAGGAAAUCCUUUUUGUGAGGCACGAACAAUAAGAUUGGAACAUAAAGCCCGACCCUUG